UGAUUUCCUAGUUUGUUCCAUCCACUUAUCAUCAAGGACUUCAUCUUUUCCACUCCAAUUAGACUCCACCUUCGCUUCAUCCUCACUCAACAUCUUGUGCAUCUCACCAGCACCACCUCCUCCCUUAUUCGUCGAAUCAACCUCGUCCGAGGAAUAGCUCAGAUCAGUCCACACUUGCUCAUUCCUCACCCCACGUUGCAAGGCCUCAAUGAUGUCCUUGGCAAUCACACGAAUCUUAAUACUAUCAGGGUGAAUCGCAGGCAGGAUUUGACCUUUGAACGACUCUUUCAACUUCUGAAACUGAGCCUCUCCCAUGCUCCUCUCCAUCGUGCUGCUCAACAGCACGA
rnacentral:lncRNA from 1 species